UACGUAGGGUGCGAGCGUUAAUCGGAAUUACUGGGCGUAAAGCGUGCGCAGGCGGUUCGUUGUGUCGGUGGUGAAAGCCCCGGGCUUAACCUGGGAAUGGCAUUGGAAACUGUCCAGCUGGAGUGUGGCAGAGGGGGUGGAAGUUCCGCGUGUAGCAGUGAAAUGCGUAGAUAUGCGGAGGAACACCGAUGGCGAAGGCAAUCUCCUGGGCCUGCACUGACGCUCAUGCAACGAAAGGCGUGGGGAGCAAACGAGG
rnacentral:rRNA from 1 species